rnacentral:tRNA from 1 species
GGCUUCGGAGCACAGCCGGUAGAGCACUUGCCCCGAUUAGGUAUGCUCAUUCUGUCGCUGGUUCGAAUCCAGCCGAAGCCC